rnacentral:rRNA from 1 species
GCUUCAAACCAACCUAGAGGAGCCUGUCCUAUAAUCGAUACUCCACGCUUAACCUUACCCCCUCUGGCCAACCAGCCUAUAUACCGCCGUCGUCAGCCUACCUUAUGAAAGAGUAAAAGUAAGCAAAACAGUUAAUAACUAACACGUCAGGUCAAGGUGUAGCAUAUGGGGGGGACAGAGAUGGGCUACAUUUUCAAAACGAACACACAAAUAGCACACUGAAACACGUGCUUGAAGGUGGAUUUAGUAGUAAGACGGGUAAGAAAAACUGUCUGAAACCCGCUCUGAAGCGCGC